UACGAAGGGGGCUAGCGUUGCUCGGAAUCACUGGGCGUAAAGCGCACGUAGGCGGACUCUUAAGUCGGUGGUGAAAUCCUGGAGCUCAACUCCAGAACUGCCUUCGAUACUGGGAGUCUCGAGUCCGAGAGAGGUGAGUGGAACUGCGAGUGUAGAGGUGAAAUUCGUAGAUAUUCGCAAGAACACCAGUGGCGAAGGCGGCUCACUGGCUCGGUACUGACGCUCAGGCGCGACAGCGUGGGGAUCAAACAGG
rnacentral:rRNA from 1 species